rnacentral:rRNA from 1 species
AACCUACGGGAGGCAGCAGUGAGGGAUAUUGGUCAAUGGGGGAAACCCUGAACCAGCAACGCCGCGUGAGGGAAGACGGUUUUCGGAUUGUAAACCUCUGUCCUCUGUGAAGAUAAUGACGGUAGCAGAGGAGGAAGCUCCGGCUAACUACGUGCCAGCAGCCGCGGUAAUACGUAGGGAGCAAGCGUUGUCCGGAAUUACUGGGCGUAAAGGGCGCGUAGGUGGGUGCUUAAGUCAGGUGUGAAAACUCUGGGCUCAACCUGGAGACUGCACUUGAAACUGGGUAUCUUGAGGGCAGGAGAGGA